rnacentral:rRNA from 1 species
UGCCAGCCGCCGCGGUAAUACGAAGGGGGCUAGCGUUGUUCGGAAUAACUGGGCGUAAAGCGCGUGUAGGCGGUUCGUUAAGUCUGAUGUGAAAGCCCGGGGCUCAACCCCGGAAGUGCAUUGGAAACUGGCGAACUUGAGUACGGGAGAGGAAAGUGGAAUUCCGAGUGUAGGGGUGAAAUCCGUAGAUAUUCGGAGGAACACCGGUGGCGAAGGCGGCUUCCUGGACGACUACUGACGCUGAGACGCGAAAGCGUGGGGAGCAAACAGGAUUAGAUA